AACAGGAUUAGAUACCCUGGUAGUCCACGCCGUAAACGAUGAGUGCUAGGUGUUGGGGGUUUCCGCCCUCUGUGCCGAAGGUAACCCAAUAAGCACUCCGCCUGGGGAGUACGGCCGCAAGGCUGAAACUCAAAGGAAUUGACGGGGGCCCGCACAAGCGGUGGAGCAUGUGGUUUAAUUCGAAGCAACGCGAAGAACCUUACCAGGUCUUGACAUCCCGCUGAUCGGUGUAGAGAUAUGCCUUUCCUUCGGGACAGCGGUGACAGGUGGUGCAUGGUUGUCGUCAGCUCGUGUCGUGAGAUGUUGGGUUCAGUCCCGCAACGAGCGCAACCCUUGUCGUCAGUUGCCAGCACGUAAAGGUGGGCACUCUGGCGAGACGGCCGGUGAAAGCCGGAGGAAGGUGGGGAUGACGUCAAAUCAUCAUGCCCCUUAUGACCUGGGCUACACACGUGCUACAAUGGCCGGUACAACGGGCAGCGAACCCGCGAGGGGGAGCCAAUCCAAAAAACCGGUCUCAGUUCGGAUCGCAGGCUGCAACUCGCCUGCGUGAAGCUGGAAUCGCUAGUAAUCGCGGAUCAGCAUGCCGCGGUGAAUCCGUUCCCGGGCCUUGUACACACCGCCCGUCACACCACGAGAGUCUGCAACACCCGAAGUCGGUGAGGUAACCUUCGGGAACCAGCCGCCGAAGGUGGGGCAGAUGAUUGGGGUGAAGUCGUAACAAGGUAACC
rnacentral:rRNA from 1 species